GCCACGGUGGUCUAGCGGUUAUAACGAUGGCCUUGUAAUCCUGGGGUCUCGGGUUCGAUUCCCGGCGGUGCCC
rnacentral:tRNA from 1 species